rnacentral:piRNA from 1 species
UAAUUCUAGUUUCGCUUCGCU